rnacentral:rRNA from 1 species
UACGUAGGGUGCAAGCGUUGUCCGGAAUUAUUGGGCGUAAAGAGCUCGUAGGCGGUCUGUCACGUCGGACGUGAAAAUCCAGGGCUCAACCCUGGACCUGCGUUCGAUACGGGCAGACUAGAGUUCGGUAGGGGAGACUGGAGUUCCUGGUGUAGCGGUGGAAUGCGCAGAUAUCAGGAGGAACACCGAUGGCGAAGGCAGGUCUCUGGGCCGCAACUGACGCUGAGGAGCGAAAGCAUGGGGAGCGAACAGG